rnacentral:rRNA from 1 species
UGCACGAAUGGCGUAAUGAUGGCCAGGCUGUCUCCACCCGAGACUCAGUGAAAUUGAACUCGCUGUGAAGAUGCAGUGUACCCGCGGCAAGACGGAAAGACCCCGUGAACCUUUACUAUAGCUUGACACUGAACAUUGAGCCUUGAUGUGUAGGAUAGGUGGGAGGCUUUGAAGUGUGGACGCCAGUCUGCAUGGAGCCGACCUUGAAAUACCACCCUUUAAUGUUUGAUGUUCUAACGUUGACCCGUAAUCCGGGUUGCGGACAGUGUCUGGUGGGUAGUUUGACUGGGGCGGUCUCCUCCUAAAGAGUAACGGAGGAGCACGAAGGUUGGCUAAUCCUGGUCGGACAUCAGGAGGUUAGUGCAAUGGCAUAAGCCAGCUUGACUGCGAGCGUGACGGCGCGAGCAGGUGCGAAAGCAGGUCAUAGUGAUCCGGUGGUUCUGAAUGGAAGGGCCAUCGCUCAACGGAUAAAAGGUACUCCGGGGAUAACAGGCUGAUACCGCCCAAGAGUUCAUAUCGACGGCGGUGUUUGGCACCUCGAUGUCGGCUCAUCACAUCCUGGGGCUGAAGUAGGUCCCAAGGGUAUGGCUGUUCGCCAUUUAAAGUGGUACGCGAGCUGGGUUUAGAACGUCGUGAGACAGUUCGGUCCCUAUCUGCCGUGGGCGCUGGAGAACUGAGGGGGGCUGCUCCUAGUACGAGAGGACCGGAGUGGACGCAUCACUGGUGUUCGGGUUGUCAUGCCAAUGGCACUGCCCGGUAGCUAAAUGCGGAAGAGAUAAGUGCUGAAAGCAUCUAAGCACGAAACUUGCCCCGAGAUGAGUUCUCCCUGACUCCUUGAGAGUCCUGAAGGAACGUUGAAGACGACGACGUUGAUAGGCCGGGUGUGUAAGCGCAGCGAUGCGUUGAGCUAACCGGUACUAAUGAACCGUGAGG